rnacentral:rRNA from 1 species
CCUCAGUAACGGCGAGUGAAGCGGCAACAGCUCAAAUUUGAAAUCUGGCCUCGCGGUCCGAGUUGUAAUUUGUAGAGGAUGCCUCGGGUGCGGUACCGUUCUAAGUUCCUUGGAACAGGGCGUCAUAGAGGGUGAGAAUCCCGUACGUGACCGGUCGCCAACCCCAUGUGAAGCUCCUUCGACGAGUCGAGUUGUUUGGGAAUGCAGCUCAAAAUGGGUGGUAAAUUUCAUCUAAAGCUAAAUACCGGCCAGAGACCGAUAGCGCACAAGUAGAGUGAUCGAAAGAUGAAAAGCACUUUGGAAAGAGAGUUAAAAAGUACGUGAAAUUGUUGAAAGGGAAGCGCUUGCAGCCAGACUCGCCCGGGGGUGAUCAGCCGUCCUUCGGGGCGGUGCACUCUCCCCCGGUCGGGCCAGCAUCGGUUUGGGCGGCCGGACAAAGGCCUCGGGAACGUGGCUCCCCUCGGGGAGUGUUAUAGCCCGGGGUGUAAUGCGGCCAGCCCGGAUCGAGGACCGCGCUUUUGCUAGGAUGCUGGCGUAAUGGCUGCCAGCGACCC